rnacentral:misc_RNA from 1 species
CUCUAUAUAUAUAUGUGUGUGUGUGUCUGCGCGAUCACACAUUUCUUUGCACAUAUCAUAUGAGAAACACCAUUUUCUAUUUUUCUUUUUCUAUGUUUCAAGUAAAAGGAGAGAAUUCAAUCAUAAGUAUGGCAAGAGGUUGCCUUCAUGAACAAACUAGCUCAAGUGAGAUCAAAACUAAGUAGAAACACACAGAUCAAGAAAGUGGGUGAUUCAAUCAUUUCAAAUACUAAAAAUUGUCAAAGUAAGAUAUCCUGGUGGUCAGAUAGUCCUAUUAGCUAGGUUGAUGCUACAUUAAAUAUCAGCAUCCAAUGUGAAAGGGCCCAAAUGAAAAGAAAGAGAGAGCCUUUUCUGUGUAAGUUGCUUAUGUACAUGACUUCCAAACUCUUUGCUGACCUACAUGGUAAUUUUCAUUACCACUUUCAUGUUAAUAUCACAAUGAUGCUAAGUUCUGCACUCAUAGGAUUUGACAGAUGGUAGAACUUGCUAGUGGAAUUUUUGUUUACUCCAACAGUUUUGAGAAACUAAAAACAUUGACACCUCUUGACUCUUUCGAUUAACACGAGCCCUUCCUUUACAAGACUUUUAAUGAGAAAACUUUAUGUCUUUAGUGGUUAGAUUGGGUUCUAACUUCUUGGCAAGCACGCUUAUUCAGGCUUGUGGAUGGAGUUGGUGGUUUGUGUAAUUUGUCCUAGCUAUAGUGAUUCUUUUAGUCUUACACUGUUAUCCCUUUU